rnacentral:piRNA from 1 species
UGAGGGACUAAUGGAGGCUUAUUGUAAC